rnacentral:rRNA from 1 species
CAAUAGCGUAUAUUAAAGUUGUUGCAGUUAAAAAGCUCGUAGUUGGAUUUGUGGUGUACUUCGGCGGCCCGUCACUAUGUGAUGGAGCUUGCUGAAGUCGCCAUCCUUGGGUGGAUCCUGUGUGGCAUUAAGUUGUCGUGCAGGGGAUGCCCAUCGUUUACUGUGAAAAAAUUAGAGUGUUCAAAGCAGGCUUAUGCCGUUGAAUAUAUUAGCAUGGAAUAAUAAGAUAGGACCUUGGUACUAUUUUGUUGGUUUGCGCACCAAGGUAAUGAUUAAUAGGGACAGUUGGGGGUAUUCGUAUUUCAUUGUCAGAGGUGAAAUUCUUGGAUUUCUGGAAGACGAACUACUGCGAAAGCAUUUACCAAGGAUGUUUUCAUUAA